rnacentral:lncRNA from 1 species
CCGGCCGCUCCGCGCCCACCUGUGGCCCUCUUGGCCCUUCUGCCCGUGCCUGGCCCCGCCGGGUCGCUCCCGAGCUCCGCGUUUCGUUCGCCGACCCCUGGAAGACUGCCUGGAGGCCCGGGCGCCACCCAACCACUGGCUAGGCCGACACUUUGCGCGGACCCUGGGUGUAAAAGGUCCCCGGGUCUCUGGUCCCGACGGAGCUGUGAGGGAGAUCAACCACGCCCCCUCCGUGGGCACCGUGGCGGCAGGGAAGGAAAAGGGCUCUGGGUCUCGACUCUCUUCGGGUUAAGAACCGACGGGGUUUAUUCUAUGCAAGGUGUUAUUAACUCCAACUCUCCCUUUCGUUCAUUCAUUCCAUAUAUGUUGAACGACAACUUAGUGCCAAAUGCCGGCAUGCUGAAACUCAGAGAGGGAAGAUGUCUUGCAAGUACAGCAGCCACACCCAGAGUUUCGCUCUUGUUCCCUGGGCUGCAGUGCAGUGGCACCAUCUCGGCUCACCGCAACCUCCGCCUCCCAAGUUCAAGCGAUUCUCCUGCCUCAGCCUCCCCAGUAUCUGGGAUUACAGUUAAUGUUGGAGGCCUCUGGAGGAUGGCCACACCUGGGCUAUUUGCAGAAGCCUGGACAGCACAGCAGGCAGAGUUAAAGCAGUUAAGGCAGUAUCAGCUGAAGGGCCACCCAGCUGUGCGUGUGCCCAGGCUCCAAGAAUAAGGAGGUUGGGGGGCAGUCCUAAGAAAGGAAGUCAUUACCUAUCGGCAACCCAGGAGCAGACGCUGGCAUAACGGCGCACACACAGUAAAGGUCAGAGGUUCUUCUUAGAAUAGUCCUUAGGUGUUAGUCAAACCCAUGCCCUGCCCCAAGGAGUUCAUUCAUUCAUUCACUCAUUCAUUCACUCACUCACUCACUGGUUCUGUUUAUUCACUCAUUUCUCUAUCACAUAUCCAUUUAUUGUCAUUCACCCACUUAUUUACUCAUACAUUCAUUCAUUUGCUCAUCAAUUUAUUUGGUACCUACAUGGAGCCAGGUACAGGUCUUGAUUAAAGAGAUCUGGGGAGGAGUGCUCCCAAGAAGUUCAGAGCCUCACUGGUGAAGGAAAGCCAUGUAAAGACAGAUCUUGAGAACCCAAGAUCAUCAAGGAGUAUCCAUGAUCAAGCAGAGCAGGGAAGGCUUUUUGCUUUGUUUUGUUUUGUUUUUAACAUGCUGUGUGGUUCAGUAAAAUUAAAACAGGCACAAUGAUAUCCUGGAUGACAAGAGCUGGAGGCUGUCAUUCUAACAAUGUAGUGAGACUGGCUGUCUUGUCUCAUGCCCACCCCUGGAAACAUGCGCAGGAACUCAAAGCACCUAGCACAGAGGAAGUGUCUGGUUGUUUUAAAGGAAAAACAAAACCAAAAAAAGCACCUCCUGCUCUGACCACCCCUAUUUCCAGUUUUCCCUUUUGGCACAGCAAAGAUGACCUUGGGACUGAGGUGGAACCAUGUAAUUCUUCGUAAUCCCAGAGUCAGGCAGACCUGGGAGAUAACAUCCAUCUCGAAGGAAGAUCUGGCCUGAAGAGCAGUCACUCUUGCCUGGCAUGCAGAGAAUGCCAAAUCAUAUUAAUGACUGGCCAGAAUGAAGUGCGUGACCUCAUCACUCCAUAACUGACAGGAAACAACUGCUAGGGCAAGAAAAAAGGGUCUCCAGUGAGUAUUCUUGUCCACACACAUCCCCACUCACGUUCCUGGACCACUGCAUCUAACUGCCGCAGCAGCUAAUGAACCUUCUGGAAUAAAGGACCAGUUUCUUAAGAAGGGAUUGAGACCUCCAGUGGCCUCCCACAUUGUUUCCGGCAAGAAUUUAAAAAUUAUUUGUAACAUAUAGUAAUAAAAACUAACCACAGGCUGGGCGCAGUGGCUCACGCCUGUAAUCCCAGCACUUUGGGAGGCUGAGGCAGGUGGAUCACCUGAGGUCAGGAGUUCGAGACCAGCCUGACCAAUAUGGUGAAACCCUGUUUCUCCUAAAAAUACAAAAAUUAGCUGGGCAUGGUGGUGGGCGCCUGUAAUCUCAGCUACUCAGGAGGCUGAAACAGGAGAACUGCUUGAAUCUGGGAGGUAGAUGUUGCAGUGAGCCGAUAUCGCGCCAUUGCACUCCAGCCUGGGCAAUGACUCCGUCUCAAAAAAAAAAAAAAAAAAAAAAAACUAACCACAGCUACUAUUUAUGAACUCUAGUGCCACACCCCAUUUCUUCCCAGGUUUCACCCCCUCUUCCCAGGUUUCACCCACCCCAACCAGUGUUGUUUGCAACACUUCAGCUUCUCUCCUCACGAAGCACGUCUCCAGAGACGCCUCUUCCGCAACUUCCCAGGGAAGCCAUUUCUGCCUGGACCCACCACAGCUCCCAACCUGUCACGCACCCCUGGAGGGUUUUGCUCUGUAAUCCUGAUUUAGAAAUCCUCUUAUAUGAAACCACUGUAAUCCACAUCUGGUUAGACAAUUGGAAAAGUUCAUUGAAAGGAGAAAUAAUAAAAAUGGCAUCCAUCCCUUAAAUGUUGUAUGCCAACGUAAAACACAUUCGACAAUGACCCUGGGCUAAGGCUCUACCUUACAGAGAAACCUGUAUCGGUGUUCCCCUCCAUUUUCCUUACAUAAACCAACCAAAAAUCUUCAGUUGUUCCGUUCUCUGUCUCUCUCCCUCUCCACACCCACCUUCCCUCUUCCUCUCUCCCUCCCUCCCUCUCUCUUUCUCUCUUUUUUGAGACAGAGUUUCACUCUGUCACCCAGGCUGGAGUGCAGCGGCUAGAUCUUGGUUCACUGCAGCCUCCACCACUCCCCCCACUUCCCCCCCGCCGCCCCUGCCCCCACCGCAGCCUCCCAGGUGGCUGGGACUACAGGCCACCACGCCCACUAAUUUUUGUAUUUUUUCUAUAGAGACGGGGUUUCAUCAUGUUGCCCAGACUGGUCUCAAACUCUUGGGCUCAAGCAAUCCUCUCACCUCAGCCUCCCGGUGCUGGGAUUAUAGGCGUGAACCAUCGCGUCCGGCCUCCCAAAUCUUUUACAGUUGUCUUGUUCACUUCUCAUUCAGCAGCAUUUUGAGUUGGGAGGGGUAACAACUCACCUUAAUCAAGUCUCUCUAAAGCAUUCAACUUAGUUUUACUAGGUUCAUUUCUUGUAGCUCAUUGGUUUAACUAAUAGUUCCCCAAAUCACAUCCUACCAGUAUAAAAGCACAACUGGUAUAAACACGUUUGGGAACACACAUAACUCAAGUAUCAGGAUGUAAGAGCGAGAGCAUGGGGAGAGUUAAGAAUUUCUCACAGACUGAUUCCCUCCCACAUUCAUCCCUGGUGUGUUUAUCCGUGUUAGGGCUGUUCUGAUGAAAGUCUUGUAGGACUUGGCAGCAAGAUGGGAAAGAUCCAUGGAAGUCCAUUGCUCAUAGCUGAUGAUGAUCUCUCAUUGCUGAGCUUAGGGUUGAAAAAGGAGUGCCAGGUCCUUUGAAAUCAAGAAGAAUUUAUGAAUCACCUUUCAUUUAUGGAGCCCUUAGCUCAAAGCUCUAAAGUUAGUCUUUUCUCAAGAUUAUAUCCUAUUUGGGAAUGCUCAUAAUGGUCCAAUCACCAUUUGUGAAAACUUACUGUGUACCAGCAAUAAACACUCUUCUACAUAGACAAUCUCAUUCUAAUAUAAUUUCUGUGCACGUUAUAGAUUCUAUUUCUGAAACAGCCCUAUGUGGUAGUUUUAUUACUAUCCUCAUUUUCACCCAACAAAUCUGAGGCACUGAGAGGUUAAGGACCUGGACUGAAGCUGCACAGCUAGAAGGUGACAGA